rnacentral:rRNA from 1 species
GGCUCUUUGUUUUAAUUUUAUAAAGAGUCCGACCUGCCCAAUGAUAGAUAUUAAAUGGCCGCAGAACCCUAACUGUGCAAAGGUAGCAUAAUCACUUGCCCUAUAAUUGAGGGCUAGAAUGAAUGGUUUGACAAGAACAAGACUGUCUUAAAAAGAUUACCUAUAAAUUAAUUUAUAGGUGAAGAAGCCUAUAUAUAACUAAAAGACGAGAAGACCCUAUCGAGCUUUAAAAUCUAACUAGGUUAACUAUAUAAUUUUUUGAUUGGGGCGAUCAAGGAACAAAUAAAGCUUCCUAUAAUUUUAAAAUUAUAAAUAAUGAUCCAAUAAAAUUGAUUAAAAGAUAAGCUACCGUAGGGAUAACAGCGUAAUCUUCUUUAAGAGUCCAUAUUAAAAAGAAGCUUUGCGACCUCGAUGUUGGACUAAAAUAUCCUAAAGAUGCAGAAGUCUUUAAAGGUUGGUCUGUUCGACCAUUAAAAUUUU